UUACGACUCCCUCUGUCCGGAAAUACUUGUCUUCAAACUGGAUAAAAGGGGAUGUAUCUAGAUGUAUUUUAGUUCUAGAUACAUCUUUUUUUAUUCAUUUUGAUGACAAGUAUUUUCGGACGGAGGGAGUAGUAU
rfam:Triticum aestivum genome assembly, contig: Triticum_aestivum_CS42_TGACv1_scaffold_581179_7BL